rnacentral:rRNA from 1 species
AACGAACGCUGGCGGCAGGCCUAACACAUGCAAGUCGAGCGCUACCUUCGGGUGGAGCGGCGGACGGGUUAGUAACGCGUGGGAAUAUACCCAGUUCUAAGGAAUAGCCGCUGGAAACGGUGAGUAAUACCUUAUACGCCCUUCGGGGGAAAGAUUUAUCGGAAUUGGAUUAGCCCGCGUUAGAUUAGAUAGUUGGUGGGGUAAUGGCCUACCAAGUCUACGAUCCAUAGCUGGUUUGAGAGGAUGAUCAGCAACACUGGGACUGAGACACGGCCCAGACUCUUACGGGAGGCAGCAGUGGGGAAUCUUAGACAAUGGGCGCAAGCCUGAUCUAGCCAUGCCGCGUGAGUGAUGAAGGCCCUAGGGUCGUAAAGCUCUUUCACCGGUGAAGAUAAUGACGGUACCAGUAGAAGAAACCCCGGCUAACUCCGUGCCAGCAGCCGCGGUAAUACGGAGGGGGCUAGCGUUGUUCGGAAUUACUGGGCGUAAAGCGUACGUAGGCGGAUUAAUAAGUUAGAGGUGAAAUCCCAGGGCUCAACCCUGGAACUGCCUUUAAAACUGUUAGUCUUGAGUUCGAGAGAGGUGAGUGGAAUUCCAAGUGUAGAGGUGAAAUUCGUAGAUAUUUGGAGGAACACCAGUGGCGAAGGCGGCUCACUGGCUCGAUACUGACGCUGAG